GAUGAACGCUGGCGGCGUGCCUAAUACAUGCAAGUCGAGCGAACAGAUGAGGAGCUUGCUCCUCUGACGUUAGCGGCGGACGGGUGAGUAACACGUGGAAAACCUACCUAUAAGACUGGGAUAACUUCGGGAAACCGGAGCUAAUACCGGAUAAUAUAUUGAACCGCAUGGUUCAAUAGUGAAAGACGGUUUUGCUGUCACUUAUAGAUGAAUCCGCGCCGCAUUAGCUAGUUGGUAAGGUAACGGCUUACCAAGGCAACGAUGCGUAGCCGACCUGAGAGGGUGAUCGGCCACACUGGAACUGAGACACGGUCCAGACUCCUACGGGAGGCAGCAGUAGGGAAUCUUCCGCAAUGGGCGAAAGCCUGACGGAGCAACGCCGCGUGAGUGAUGAAGGUCUUCGGAUCGUAAAACUCUGUUAUUAGGGAAGAACAAAUGUGUAAGUAACUAUGCACGUCUUGACGGUACCUAAUCAGAAAGCCACGGCUAACUACGUG
rnacentral:rRNA from 1 species